AGGGUUUUAUUCUGGCUCAGAUUCAACGCUGGCGUCAGGCCUAACACAUGCAAGUCGAGCGGAUGAAGGGAGCUUGCUCCUGGAUUCAGCGGCGGACGGGUGAGUAAUGCUUAGGAAUCUGCCUGGUAGUGGGGGAUAACGUCCGGAAACGGGCGCUAAUACGGCAUACGUCNUGAGGGAGAAAGUGGGGGAUCUUCGGACCUCACGCUAUCAGAUGAGCCUAGGUCGGAUUAGCUAGUUGGUGGGGUAAAGGCCUACCAAGGCGACGAUCCGUAACUGGUCUGAGAGGAUGAUCAGUCACACUGGAACUGAGACACGGUCCAGACUCCUACGGGAGGCAGCAGUGGGGAAUAUUGGACAAUGGGCGAAAGCCUGAUCCAGCCAUGCCGCGUGUGUGAAGAAGGUCUUCGGAUUGUAAAGCACUUUAAGUUGGGAGGAAGGGCAGUAAGUUAAUACCUUGCUGUUUUGACGUUACCAACAGAAUAAGCACCGGCUAACUUCGUGCCAGCAGCCGCGGUAAUACGAAGGGUGCAAGCGUUAAUCGGAAUUACUGGGCGUAAAGCGCGCGUAGGUGGUUCAGCAAGUUGGAUGUGAAAUCCCCGGGCUCAACCUGGGAACUGCAUCCAAAACUACUGAGCUAGAGUACGGUAGAGGGUGGUGGAAUUUCCUGUGUAGCGGUGAAAUGCGUAGAUAUAGGAAGGAACACCAGUGGCGAAGGCGACCACCUGGACUGAUACUGACACUGAGGUGCGAAAGCGUGGGGAGCAAACAGGAUUAGAUACCCUGGUAGUCCACGCCGUAAACGAUGUCGACUAGCCGUUGGGAUCCUUGAGAUCUUAGUGGCGCAGCUAACGCGAUAAGUCGACCGCCUGGGAGNCNCNNNANNG
rnacentral:rRNA from 1 species